AUUGAACGCUGGCGGCAUGCUUUACACAUGCAAGUCGAACGGCAGCGCGGGGCAACCUGGCGGCGAGUGGCGAACGGGUGAGUAAUACAUCGGAACGUACCCAGAAGUGGGGGAUAACGUAGCGAAAGUUACGCUAAUACCGCAUACGUUCUACGGAAGAAUGUGGGGGACCUUCGGGCCUCAUGCUUUUGGAGCGGCCGAUGUCUGAUUAGCUCGUUGGUGAGGUAAAGGCUCACCAAGGCGACGAUCAGUAGCUGGUCUGAGCAGACGACCAGCCACACCGGGACUGAGACACGGCCCAGGCUCCGUCGGGAGGGAGCAGGGGGGAAAUUUGGACAAUUGGCGCAAGCCUGAUCCAGCAAUGCCGGGGGAGUGAAGGAGGCCUUCGGGGUGUAAAGCUCUUUUGUCAGGGAAAAAACGGCUGAGGAUAAUACCUUCGGCUAAUGACGGUAACUGAAGGAUAAGGACCCGCUUACUACGGG
rnacentral:rRNA from 1 species